GGAUGUGAGGGUGAUCUGGCUGGCUAGGCAAAUGUCCCCUUCCUCACUCACUGCUCCAUGUGCGACCCUCCUGAAGCUGUGCUCUGGAUUGAAGAGGAUGACUUUCCCUGAAUAGAGGAGGACUGGUCUUUAGCCAAGGGAAUACAAGUAGCUGUGCUCCCCUGCUGGAACCUCCAAACAAGCUCUCAAGGUACAUGACAUUAUAAUUAUCUAUAAGGUCACAAUAUUUCUGUCUAGCAAGAAGCUUUUUGAUAAAGA
rnacentral:snRNA from 1 species